AACUACCUUGUUAAAUUGCCACAGUUCGACAAAUACCCGUCGAUAUGCAGAUGUUCGAUAGGUUCUCCUGUCGAAUCGUGGUUGUUCAACAGGGUA
rnacentral:pre_miRNA from 5 species